rnacentral:rRNA from 1 species
AUGGAAAAAAUGGCCUCUUCCUAUUUCCAAAAGAUGUAUGCUAAAGAAGAUAACUUGGAGCCGGAUACUGUACCAGACCUCAUGCAUGCAUGUGUAAGAGAGGAGAUGAAAGGUAAAUUGUGUCCACCAUUCACCGAUCAAGAAAUUGUUGAUGCACUAUUUUAGUUUGGGCCACUCAAGGCACCGGGUCCGGAUGGUUUACCCGCUAGGUUUCUUUAGCGGAACUGGGGCUUUUGAAGGAAGUCUUGACCAAGGAAAUACUUAAUUUUUUUGAGGAAGGGGUCAAUGCCUGAAAAUGUUAAUAAUACGGCUAUUGUUUUAAUCCUAAAGAAGAAUGAUCCAAUAGAUUUGAAGGACUUUCGCCCCAUCAGCCUUUGUAACGUCAUCUACAAAGUAGUCUCGAAAUGCCUUCUCAAUGGUCUUUGAGCAAUUCUUGAGGACAUAAUUUCUCCAUCAUAGAGCGCUUUGAAUCGAGGACAGUUAAUUAUAGAUAAUGCCCUCUUUGCUUUGGAAUGUAUACAUGUAAUCUGUAGCAACUCACGGGAGCAUGCUGGUUUUUGUGCAUACAAGUUGGAUAUGGUGCAAGCAUGCGAUCGUGUGGAUUGGCUUUUUUUGGAAGGCGCCAUGGCGAUGCUGGGAUUUCAUCAUUUGUGGAUAUGGUGGGUGAUGCAAUGUGUAACUACCAUACGUUACUCUGUUCGUCUGAGUGGACAAAGUUUGGACAUCUUCACACCACAACAAGGUUUACGCUAAGAAAAUCCAUUGUUGCCCUAUCUUCUUCUCCUGGCUGCAGAUGGACUAUCACGGUUGAUCCAUCAUGAGGUUGACCGAGGGGCUCUAUAGGACCUACACAUUAGGAGACAUGCCUUGUGUGUGUCACAUUUACUUUUUGCGGAUGAUUUGUUGUUUUUCCAGGGCACUAGACAACAGGCCCAGGUGAUACAAUCAAUGCUGCAUCAAUAUGAGAGUAGUAUGGGACAACUUGUCAAUCUUGCUAAUUGCUCUAUCCUCUAUGGCGAUCGAUGUUCAGCUGAAGCUAAAAUUGAAAUAAAACAGAUCCUCAAGUAUGAGAUAGAGAGUUUUGAAGACAAGUACCUCAGGCUUCCUGUGUCGGAGGGAUGAAUAAAAAAUAAGUUCCAACCAACCAAGGACAAAUUCUGCAAGCAUGCAAAUGAUUGGAUGGAGUACUCAUCGAGCGGGGCGAAGGAGGUGCUAAUAAAGGUCAUGCUGCAAGCUUUGCCAACUUAUGCCACAAGUAUUUUCAAAUUUCCCGCUGACCUCACAGAGGAAUGAACAAAGAUUGUGCCUGACUUCUGGUGGGGUGAUGAGAAUGAAAGGCGAAAGAUGCAUCGGCUUGCUUGGGACAAGGUGGCGUGGCAAAAGGUUUAUGGUGGAAUGGGCUUCCGUGACCUCCAUGUUUUUAAUCAAGCAUUGCUGGCAUGUCAAGCAUGGCUUCUAAUACAAUACCCAAAAAGUUUGUUUGCUCGCAUUCUAAAGGCCAAGUACUACCCGAAUGGUAACCUCUUGGAUACCGCUUUUAUUCAAAAUAGGCUGGGUUCCUGGAAAGGUAUUAUGCACAGUCUCGAUCUUCUAAAACAAGGUGCCAUAUGGCGGAUUGGUUGUGGUACCCAGGUUAAAAUCUGGCGGGAUAACUGGUUGCAUAAACAAGAUUUUCUAAAGAUUAGAGGUUGUCGCACAUGUUCAAGGCAUAAGUGGGUCUCUGAACUGAUCAACCCAUUCACUCGCUCAUGGGAUUCAGACAUUGUUCGCGAGGUUUUCUAUCCUCAUGAUGCCGAAACAAUACUAAAGAUCAAUUUGGUAGAGAAACGUAUAGAGGAUUUUGUUGCCUUAAACUUCAAAUAG